CAACAGGGAUUGCCCCAGUAACGGCGAGUGAAGCGGCAACAGCUCAAAUUUGAAAUCUGGCUCUCGGGCCCGAGUUGUAAUUUGUAGAGGAUGCUUUUGGUGAGGUGCCUUCCGAGUUCCCUGGAACGGGACGCCAUAGAGGGUGAGAGCCCCGUCUGGUUGGACACCGAUCCUCUGUAAAGCUCCUUCGACGAGUCGAGUAGUUUGGGAAUGCUGCUCUAAAUGGGAGGUAUAUGUCUUCUAAAGCUAAAUACCGGCCAGAGACCGAUAGCGCACAAGUAGAGUGAUCGAAAGAUGAAAAGAACUUUGAAAAGAGAGUUAAACAGUACGUGAAAUUGUUGAAAGGGAAGCGCUUGUGACCAGACUUGGGCUUGGUUGAUCAUCCGGGGUUCUCCCCGGUGCACUCUUCCGGCUCAGGCCAGCAUCAGUUCGCCCUGGGGGAUAAAGGCUUCGGGAAUGUGGCUCUCUCCGGGGAGUGUUA
rnacentral:ncRNA from 4 species